UACGGAGGGUGCAAGCGUUAUCCGGAAUCACUGGGUUUAAAGGGUGCGUAGGCGGCUUGAUAAGUCAGGGGUGAAAUCCCGGGGCUCAACCUCGGAAUUGCCUUUGAUACUGUCUAUCUUGAGUCCGGGAGAGGUGAGUGGAAGUCCUAGUGUAGAGGUGAAAUUCGUAGAUAUUAGGAAGAACACCAGUGGCGAAGGCGGCUGACUGGACCGGUACUGACGCUCAUGUGCGAAAGCGUGGGGAGCAAACAGG
rnacentral:rRNA from 1 species